GCAGUCGAGCGCACUCUUCGGAGUGAGCGGCGGACGGGUUAGUAACGCGUGGGAACGUGCCCUUCUCUAAGGAAUAGCCACUGGAAACGGUGAGUAAUACCUUAUACGCCCUUCGGGGGAAAGAUUUAUCGGAGAAGGAUCGGCCCGCGUUAGAUUAGAUAGUUGGUGGGGUAAUGGCCUACCAAGUCUACGAUCUAUAGCUGGUUUUAGAGGAUGAUCAGCAACACUGGGACUGAGACACGGCCCAGACUCCUACGGGAGGCAGCAGUGGGGAAUCUUGGACAAUGGGCGCAAGCCUGAUCCAGCCAUGCCGCGUGAGUGAUGAAGGCCUUAGGGUCGUAAAGCUCUUUCGCCAGAGAUGAUAAUGACAGUAUCUGGUAAAGAAACCCCGGCUAACUCCGUGCCAGCAGCCGCGGUAAUACGGAGGGGGUUAGCGUUGUUCGGAAUUACUGGGCGUAAAGCGCACGUAGGCGGAUCAGAAAGUAUAGGGUGAAAUCCCAGGGCUCAACCCUGGAACUGCCUUGUAAACUCCUGGUCUUGAGUUCGAGAGAGGUGAGUGGAAUUCCGAGUGUAGAGGUGAAAUUCGUAGAUAUUCGGAGGAACACCAGUGGCGAAGGCGGCUCACUGGCUCGAUACUGACGCUGAGGUGCGAAAGUGUGGGGAGCAAACAGGAUUAGAUACCCUGGUAGUCCACACCGUAAACGA
rnacentral:rRNA from 1 species